AGAGUAAAUGUAAGGAGAGAUGAAUAUAAAGUCACAGCUCCAAAAAUAGGCAUAUCAACCUGUGCUUCUAUGACUGUCCCUAUGGCAUUGUUCAAUUUUGAAAAAGCUUCAACUUGCAAGAACUCAGGUAAAACUUCUGCACUUGAAGCUGCAUAAUUUGAGAGCCUCUCCAUCAACCUAGAGAGCACUGUCUUGACGUCAACAGAUGGCUGAAGCUGAGGGCAAGCACCCAACAAGACUUCAAGAGUUUGCAAGUGAUACUCAUCUGGAAAGACUUGAAUAACGCA
rnacentral:misc_RNA from 1 species